UCGGGAAUAUUGCGCAAUGGAGGAAACUCUGACGCAGUGACGCCGCGUGCAGGAAGAAGGUUUUCGGAUUGUAAACUGCUUUAGACAGGGAAGAAACAAGACAGUACCUGUAGAAUAAGCCACGGCUAACUACGUGCCAGCAGCCGCGGUAAUACGUAGGUGGCAAGCGUUAUCCGGAUUUACUGGGUGUAAAGGGCGCGUAGGCGGGGAUACAAGUCAGAUGUGAAAUCUAUGGGCUUAACCCAUAAACUGCAUUUGAAACUGUAUCUCUUGAGUGUCGGAGAGGUAGACGGAAUUCCUAGUGUAGCGGUGAAAUGCGUAGAUAUUAGGAGGAACACCAGUGGCGAAGGCGGUCUACUGGACGAUAACUGACGCUGAGGCGCGAAAGCGUGGGGAGCAAACAGGAUUAGAUACCCUGGUAGU
rnacentral:rRNA from 1 species